UACGUAGGGUGCGAGCGUUAAUCGGAAUUACUGGGCGUAAAGCGUGCGCAGGCGGUGAUGUAAGACAGGUGUGAAAUCCCCGGGCUUAACCUGGGAACUGCAUUUGUGACUGCAUCGCUGGAGUGCGGCAGAGGGGGAUGGAAUUCCGCGUGUAGCAGUGAAAUGCGUAGAUAUGCGGAGGAACACCGAUGGCGAAGGCAAUCCCCUGGGCCUGCACUGACGCUCAUGCACGAAAGCGUGGGGAUCAAACAGG
rnacentral:rRNA from 1 species